CUUAACUGUGAGAGGCCAGCCAAAACUGCCAGACUUGAGCGGGGUAGAGGAGAGCGGAAUUCCUGGUGUAGUGGUGGAAUGCGUAGAGAUCAGGAGGAACCCCAGUGGCGAAAGCGGCUCUCUGGACCUUAGCUGACGCUGAGAUGCGAAAGCGUGGGGAGCGAACGGGAUUAGAUACCCCGGUAGUCCACGCUGUAAACGAUGGAUACUAGGUGUAGCGAGGGAUUGAUCUUGCUGUGCCGCAGCCAACGCGAUAAGUAUCCCGCCUGGGGAGUACGGCCGCAAGGCUAAAACUCAAAGGAAUUGACGGGGGCCCGCACAAGCAGCGGAGCGUGUGGUUUAAUUCGAUGCUACGCGAAGAACCUUACCUGGGUUUGACAUGUAGGUAGUAGAGGCGUGAAAGCGUCUCGACCCUUCGGGGAGCC
rnacentral:rRNA from 1 species